rnacentral:misc_RNA from 1 species
GAUGAAGAACGUAGCGAAAUGCGAUAAGUAAUGUGAAUUGCAGAAUUCAGUGAAUCAUCGAAUCUUUGAACGCACAUUGCGCCCGCCAGUAUUCUGGCGGGCAUGCCUGUUCGAGCGUCAUUUCAACCAUCAAGCCCCCGGCUUGUGUUGGGGACCUGCGGCUGCCGCAGGCCCUGAAAACCAGUGGCGGGCUCGCUAGUCACUCCGAGCGUAGUAAUACAUCUCGCUCAGGGCGUGCUGCGGGUUCCGGCCGUUAAAAAAGCCUUAUUUACCCAAGGUUGACCUCGGAUCAGGUAGGAAGACCCGCUGAACUUAAGCAUAUCAAUAAGCGGAGG